UAAAAAAAUAUUUGUUUGUGUUUGCAUCCACUGGGAGAACUCCCUCCCGAAAGAGAGCUUUCCCCCAACGAACAAAAGAAUAGUAGUAAAGUAAACUCCACUGUGUGUAGUAAUUAGAAAGUGUCGAGUCGUGUGAUAAAACACCUCCUUUGGAAUAGAGAGAUCCACGCACACUCCCAGGUCUUUGUCGGCUCCCUCCCCCCACUGCAGAACACCCACCAACCGCGCACUUAAGCGCAGGCAGGAGAAAUAGCAUUCACAGCAGAGAAAAUAUUUUAGGAGCCUCCUGAGUGUCUA
rnacentral:misc_RNA from 1 species